AGUGAACGCUGGCGGUAGGCCUAACACAUGCAAGUCGAACGGCAGCACAGUAAGAGCUUGCUCUUACGGGUGGCGAGUGGCGGACGGGUGAGGAAUACAUCGGAAUCUACUUUUUCGUGGGGGUUAACGUAGGGAAACUUACGCUAAUACCGCAUACGACCUACGGGUGAAAGCAGGGGAUCUUCGCACCUUGCGCGAUUGAAUGAGCCGAUGUCGGUUUAGUUAGUUGGGGGGGUAAAGGCCCACCAAGGCGACGAUCCGUAGCUGGUCUGAGAGGAUGAUCAGCGACACUGGAACUGAGACACGGUCCAGACUCCUACGGGAGGCAGCAGUGGGGAAUAUUGGACAAUGGGCGCAAGCCUGAUCCAGCCAUACCGCGUGGGUGAAGAAGGCCUUCGGGUUGUAAAGCCCUUUUGUUGGGAAAGGAAAGCAGCAGGUUAAUACCCCGCUGUUCUGACGGUACCCAAAGAAUAAGCACCGGCUAACUUCGUG
rnacentral:rRNA from 1 species